rnacentral:rRNA from 1 species
CAAGUCGAGCGAACGGACGAGAAGCUUGCUUCUCUGAUGUUAGCGGCGGACGGGUGAGUAACACGUGGAUAACCUACCUAUAAGACUGGGAUAACUUCGGGAAACCGGAGCUAAUACCGGAUGAUAUUUUGAACCGCAUGGUUCAAAAGUGAAAGACGGUCUUGCUGUCACUUAUAGAUGGAUCCGCGCUGCAUUAGCUAGUUGGUAAGGUAACGGCUUACCAAGGCAACGAUGCAUAGCCGACCUGAGAGGGUGAUCGGCCACACUGGAACUGAGACACGGUCCAGACUCCUACGGGAGGCAGCAGUAGGGAAUCUUCCGCAAUGGGCGAAAGCCUGACGGAGCAACGCCGCGUGAGUGAUGAAGGUCUUCGGAUCGUAAAACUCUGUUAUUAGGGAAGAACAUAUGUGUAAGUAACUGUGCACAUCUUGACGGUACCUAAUCAGAAAGCCACGGCUAACUACGUGCCAGCAGCCGCGGUAAUACGUAGGUGGCAAGCGUUAUCCGGAAUUAUUGGGCGUAAAGCACGCGUAGGCGGUUUUUUAAGUCUGAUGUGAAAGCCCACGGCUCAACCGUGGAGGGUCAUUGGAAACUGGAAGACUUGAGUGCAGAAGAGGAAAGUGGAAUUCCAUGUGUAGCGGUGAAAUGCGCAGAGAUAUGGAGGAACACCAGUGGCGAAGGCGACUUUCUGGUCUGUAACUGACGCUGAUGUGCGAA